CACGUGCAAAUCGAUCGUCAAAUUUGGGUAUAGGGGCGAAAGACUAAUCGAACCGUCUAGUAGCUGGUUCCCUUCGAAGUUUCCCUCAGGAUAGCUGGCGCUCUGUCGCAGUUUUAUCUGGUAAAGCGAAUGAUUAGAGGUCUUGGGGGCGAAACGCCCUCAACCUAUUCUCAAACUUUAAAUUGGUCUUCUGGACAACAGACGACGACAGCCAAUGCAGAGGGAAUUAAGCCAACUUUUGCGGACGUGCUUGCGGCAACGGGCGAACAUUUAACUGAACGCCACAUUAUAUACGUAUCGGCGCUUUCAAGCAUUUACACCACUUUCGUGCGCGCGCCGGGCUAGCUUAAACGAGGUGGACGAAACAGCAUACUUUAGCUAAAUUACAGCAUACGUCAUAUAUCUUUGAAAAAAUAGGCGAGUUUUUUGUGUACGGGGUGCCAAGAGUCUUAAAAGGAGUUAGUUUUUUAAAUUUUAGGCAACGGAA
rnacentral:ncRNA from 1 species